AUAUGAUUUUUUAUUUUAUUUUAAUAAAAGAAUAUUACCCAAUUUAAUCAUGAGUAAUAUUCCCCUUUCCCCUCCAACUAAGCGUAAAGCUUUUGCUAGGAGUGGGUUCGACAACAGUGCAAUGGGUGGGGUUUGAACCGCCGAGCAUUUGGAUUUCAGUCCGCUCCUAUCACCGUUGAGCUAUUGAGGCUUAUUAGGUUGUUACAACAAGCGGCAAGAGCACAAUUUUGCUAA